GGGCGUAAGAGCUCGUAGGCGGUUUGUCGCGUCCGCUGUGAAAAUUCGAGGCUCAACCUCGGACUUGCAGUGGGUACGGGCAGACUAGAGUGCAGUAGGGGAGAAGGGAAUUCCUGGUGUAGCGGUGGAAUGCGCAGAUAUCAGGAGGAACACCAAUGGCGAAGGCACUUCUCUGGGCUGUAACUGACGCUGAGGAGCGAAAGCGUGGGGAGCGAACAGGAUUAGAUACCCUGGUAGUCCACGCCGUAAACGUUGGGCGCUAGAUGUGGGUCACACUCCACGUGAUCCGUGUCGCAGCUAACGCAUUAAGCGCCCCGCCUGGGGAGUACGGCCGCAAGGCUAAAACUCAAAGGAAUUGACGGGGGCCCGCACAAGCGGCGGAGCAUGCGGAUUAAUUCGAUGCAACGCGAAGAACCUUACCAAGGCUUGACAUAUAGUGGAAAACUGCAGAAAUGUAGUCCCCCGCAAGGGUCGCUAUACAGGUGGUGCAUGGUUGUCGUCAGCUCGUGUCGUGAGAUGUUGGGUUAAGUCCCGCAACGAGCGCAACCCUCGUUCUGUGUUGCCAGCAUUUAGUUGGGGACUCACAGGAGACUGCCGGGGUCAACUCGGAGGAAGGUAAU
rnacentral:rRNA from 1 species